AUUGAACGCUGGCGGCAGGCCUAACACAUGCAAGUCGAGCGGAUGACGGGAGCUUGCUCCUUGAUUCAGCGGCGGACGGGUGAGUAAUGCCUAGGAAUCUGCCUGGUAGUGGGGGACAACGUUUCGAAAGGAACGCUAAUACCGCAUACGUCCUACGGGAGAAAGCAGGGGACCUUCGGGCCUUGCGCUAUCAGAUGAGCCUAGGUCGGAUUAGCUUGUUGGUGAGGUAAUGGCUCACCAAGGCGACGAUCCGUAACUGGUCUGAGAGGAUGAUCAGUCACACUGGAACGGGGACACGGUCCAGCCUCCUACGGGAGUCAGCAGUGGGGAAUAUUGGACAAUGGGCGAAAGCCUGAUCCAGCCAUGCCGCGUGUGUGAAGAAGGUCUUCGGAUUGUAAAGCACUUUAAGUUGGGAGGAAGGGUUGUAGAUUAAUACUCUGCAAUUUUGACGUUACCGACAGAAUAAGCACCGGCUAACUCUGUGCCAGCAGCCGCCGUAA
rnacentral:rRNA from 1 species